AUCGUUCUCGCCUUUUGGGGCUAAGAUCAAGUGUAGUAUCUGUUUCUUUAUCAGUUUAAUAUCGAUAACGUCCCUACCGGGGACCAUAUAUUAAAUUGUUUUGGAGCAGGGAGAAUGGAUUAGGCUGCUCCGUCAUCCCCAUCGACUGGGUUUGCAGUACUUCCUGGACGUGCAUCC
rnacentral:snRNA from 1 species